AGAAUUGGAACGUGAAUUGGAGGAGCUCUCGGGUGAAGUUCGAGUGUCGUCGACAUCGCGUCGCGGUGCCGUUCAAAUGUGUGUUCGUCAUCGUAGCAUCGCGAGAAGGUCGGGCGAGGGUGCGAUUCCGCCAUUCUCGACGUCGCGCGGGAUUGGGAGUAGCUAUCGAGGUGAGUUAAUCGUCGGUUUGUCUUCUAAGUAUAUAGUUGGUCAAUAUGUGUUGUUGUGUUGAUAGAUUUUGCUCGGUU
rnacentral:lncRNA from 1 species